rnacentral:rRNA from 5 species
CUUUGUGAUUCAUGACUGGGGUGAAGUCGUAACAAGGUAACCGUAGGGGAACCUGCGGUUGGAUCACCUCCUUACCUGAAAGAA